CCCUUAGAUGUUCUGGGCCGCACACGCGCUACACUGAAGGAGGCAGCGUGUACUCCUGGAUCGAAAGAUUUGGGUAACCCGCGAAUCUCCUUCGUGCUAGGGAUUGAGGUUUGCAAUUAUCCUUCAUGAACGAGGAAUUCCCAGUAAGUGCAAGUCAUAAGCUUGCGCUGACUACGUCCCUGCCCUUUGUACACACCGCCCGUCGCUACUACCGAUUGAAUGAUUUAGUGAGGACUUCGGACUGGGACCGAUGCGGCUUUCGGGCUGCGUCGGUAUUCCGGAAAGAUGUCCAAACUGUAUCAUUUAGAGGAAGUAAAAGUCGUAACA
rnacentral:rRNA from 1 species